rnacentral:rRNA from 1 species
UACGGAGGAUGCGAGCGUUAUCCGGAUUUAUUGGGUUUAAAGGGUGCGUAGGCGGCUUUUUAAGUCAGCGGUGAAAUUUUGCAGCUUAACUGUAACAGUGCCGUUGAUACUGGGGAGCUAGGAUUUGGUUGCUGUGGGUGGAAUGUGUGGUGUAGCGGUGAAAUGCUUAGAGAUCACACAGAAUAUCGAUUGCGAAGGCAGCUCACAAAGCCAAGAUUGACGCUGAGGCACGAAAGUGUGGGGAUCAGACAGGAUUA